rfam:Treponema sp. OMZ 838, complete genome.
AAAACGCUGCGAGUUUGCUUACGCAAACAUCGCUUAUUGACGUGUGCGCUAUCGCGCACGAAUUCAACGGUCUCAAAAAUUGAUAUUUUGUUCGACUGUUGAAUUUUAAG